CUUCCCCGCCCCCACUGAUCACUAUUUAACACAGAGUAACGAGUGUAACCACAUGCUUGAUAAAGAGUCCUGUGUGACUCGAAACGUCGCAUUAUUUUGUCUACUGAAAAUGAGCCAAUAAAUCACAAAGAAAGUUUACUGAAACAACGUGUCAGUGUGCUGCGGUCUUUUGGAUAUUUCAUAUGACUGAAACCCAUGGCAGAGUGGGAAAUUGGCUGCUAAGCACCUGGUCCCAAAAGGGAAAAGAAACAGAGAUCUUGAACGUGGGGAAGAAUUUGUACUACAUCACAGGAUGUUUGCGGUGAGAGCUUCCAUAGCUAGAAUGUGGAAGGCGAGUUUAGCGCCAACGAUACAUCAAGUCCUUAAAGAUGCUCAAUACAGCAUGUCAAUGGAGGAACUAAUGGACUGUGAUAUUAAGCGGGCAGCCCAAAACACUGCUAUUUGGAGAAUCUGGAGACGCACGCAAUUACUUGACCUGUGUCGGCAAACCUUAUCUACUCAUGGGUCAGCGGUCUCAGCAACAUGAUCAGAUUGCAUUGUGUAAUUCUUUGUACUUUUUUUUUCUGAGCAAUGAGAUCUUGGGUUUAUUACGGGAUGUGCCUAUUUCUCCCUCUUUUUUCUUUCUUCCCCUGUCAUCAUCCUCACUAACAAUCCCCUUCUCCCUUUCUACACGGUAUACUUGGUGACUUAUCGUGGAAGAUAUCUGUUGAAUGACAAUAUGCUGUAUACCUAACCUGCUUUACUUUUCUUUUUGGAAAAUAAUAAAGAAUAUUUGGAAA